rnacentral:rRNA from 1 species
AGCGGCGGACGGGUGAGUAAUGCUUGGGAAUCUACCUAGUAGUGGGGGAUAACGUGUGGAAACGCACGCUAAUACCGCAUACGUCCUACGGGAGAAAGCAGGGGAUCUUCGGACCUUGCGCUAUUAGAUGAGCCCAAGUCGGAUUAGCUAGUUGGUGGGGUAAUGGCUCACCAAGGCUACGAUCCGUAGCUGGUCUGAGAGGAUGAUCAGCCACACUGGGACUGAGACACGGCCCAGACUCCUACGGGAGGCAGCAGUGGGGAAUAUUGCACAAUGGGCGAAAGCCUGAUGCAGCCAUGCCGCGUGUGUGAAGAAGGCUCUAGGGUUGUAAAGCACUUUCAGUAGGGAGGAACAGCUUAAGACUAAUACUCUUGAGCCUUGACGUUACCUACAGAAGAAGCACCGGCAAACUCCGUGCCAGCAGCCGCGGUAAUACGGAGGGUGCGAGCGUUAAUCGGAAUUACUGGGCGUAAAGCGCGCGUAGGUGGUUUGAUAAGCUAGCUGUGAAAGCCCCGGGCUCAACCUGGGAACUGCAGUUAGAACUGUCUGGCUAGAGUACAGUAGAGGGUGGCGGAAUUUCCUGUGUAGCGGUGAAUGCGUAGAUAUAGGAAGGAACAUCAGGGGCGAAGGCGGCCACCUGGACUGAUACUGACACUGAGUGCGAAGCGUGGGGAGCCAACCAGAUAGAUACCCUGGUAGUCCACGCCGA